rnacentral:rRNA from 1 species
UACGGAGGGUGCAAGCGUUAUCCGGAUUUACUGGGUUUAAAGGGUGCGUAGGCGGGCCUGUAAGUCAGUGGUGAAAUCUUCCCGCUUAACGGGAAAACUGCCAUUGAUACUAUAGGUCUUGAAUUCAGUUGAGGUGGGCGGAAUGUGUCGUGUAGCGGUGAAAUGCUUAGAUAUGACACAGAACACCGAUUGCGAAGGCAGCUCGCUAAACUGACAUUGACGCUGAGGCACGAAAGCGUGGGGAUCGAACAGG